GGGGUUGUUGCCCCACUCUUAAGCUUUGGAUAAGCAAUGUGAGUUGGGUCUGCUUUUGUUGUUACUGUCGUGAGGAACUACAGCGUGAUACUUCUCUGCCUCAGAAAUAGUGCUGCCCUGAAAUCGCUGUGGCUUGAACAAUAAGAAAAUUCAGGACUCCAGGAGGCCAACACAACAGGAUAUCCAUAAGUAACAAUGCCUACUUAUCAACAAGGGGUGAGCUUAACAGUCUUGUUCCUGGCUGUGACAAACAGUGAGCAGAAUUCCUAGUGAGCUGGAGAGCAGCGAAUAAAUGCACAAGAUAACUCUGAAGAAAGAUUAGGCGCGGCUGACUUGGUCUGUUCCUUUGCACAAAUCAAGAGCAAUUUAAGGCAAUAAUGACUGAUAGUUUUCCACAGACAUCCUGACUUUUAUCCUAUUGCAGUACAGAGUUCAUCCACCUUUGUUUUUUUGCUUUGAUUUCCGUGUUCAUUUUUUAUGAUGUUCAUUUUUUAUGAUGAAAGUGGUCUUGUCUUGAAGGAACAGAUGAGUAGUCUUUUUUGUCUUUUUUUUUUUUUUCUUUUCCCCUGAGUAGUUCAAAGACACCUUUAACGGCUCGGAACAAAAGGAAAUUAUUGUACAGAUCAAGGGAUUACAAAGCAAUGUUUUUACAGAUUUAAAAUAAAAUAUAAACAGCUGUUGAGAGAUGAACAGCACA